rnacentral:rRNA from 1 species
GAUGAACGCUAGCGGCAGGCCUAACACAUGCAAGUCGAGGGGGAGGUUACUUUCGGGUAACUGAGACCGGCGUACGGGUGCGUAACGCGUAUACAAUCUGCCUUUCACUGGGGGAUAGCCCGAAGAAAUUUGGAUUAAUACCCCAUAGUAUAGUAAUACGGCAUCGUGAUGCUAUUAAAGCUUAGGUGGUGAAAGAUGAGUAUGCGUUCUAUUAGCUAGUUGGAGAGGUAACGGCUCCCCAAGGCGAUGAUAGAUAGGGGUCCUGAGAGGGAUGUCCCCCACACUGGUACUGAGAUACGGACCAGACUCCUACGGGAGGCAGCAGUGAGGAAUAUUGGACAAUGGUCGGAAGACUGAUCCAGCCAUGCCGCGUGCAGGAUGAAGGUCUUAUGGAUUGUAAACUGCUUUUGUAAGGGAAGAAUAAGGGCUACGCGUAGUUUGAUGACGGUACCUUACGAAUAAGCAUCGGCUAACUCCGUG